GCCUUUCUGUGCUUGCUUCAGCAGCAAUUGGAACGAUACAAAGAAGAUUAGCAUGGCCCCUAUGCAAGGAUGACACGUAAAUUCGUGAAGCGUUCCAUUUUUUU